UACGUAGGUGGCGAGCGUUGUCCGGAUUUACUGGGCGUAAAGGGAGCGUAGGCGGAUUUUUAAGUGAGAUGUGAAAUACCCGGGCUCAACUUGGGUGCUGCCAUUUCAAACUGGAAGUCUAGAGUGCAGGAGAGGAGAGUGGAAUUCCUAGUGUAGCGGUGAAAUGCGUAGAGAUUAGGAAGAACACCAGUGGCGAAGGCGACUCUCUGGACUGUAACUGACGCUGAGGAGCGAAAGCGUGGGGAGCGAACAGG
rnacentral:rRNA from 1 species